rnacentral:rRNA from 1 species
AGUGGAUGGGGAGCAACCUAGUUGUGCGUGUGUAAAGGUAGUGCCAAGAAAAGCGAUGAUCAUUUUGAAAAUCAAUUCCCGGUACCCGAAACCGACACAGGUGGGCAAGUAGAGAAUACUAAGGGGCGCGAGGUAACUCUCUCCAAGGAACUCGGCAAAAUGACCCCGUAACUCAGGGAGAAGGGGUGCCACCGAGAGGUGGUCGCAGUGAAGAGGCCCAGGCGACUGUUUAGCAGAAACAUAGGUCUCUGCAAACUCGAAAGAGGAGGUAUAGGGGCUGACGCCUGCCCAGUGCCGGAAGGUUAAAGAAGUUGGUCAGUUUUAGGAUGAAGCUAGCGACUGAAGCCCCGGUGAACGGCGGCCGUAACUAUAACGGUCCUAAGGUAGCGAAAUUCCUUGUCGGGUAAGUUCCGACCCGCACGAAAGGCGUAACGAUCUGGGCGCUGUCUCGGAGAGAGGCUCGGCGAAAUAGGAUUGUCUGUGAAGAUACGGACUACCUGCAUUUGGACAGAAAGACCCUAUGAAGCUUUACUAUAGCUUGGAAUUGUGUUCGGGCUUCCUGUGCGCAGGAUAGGUGGGAGGCGUAGAAGGUAUUCUUGUGGGGAUACUGGAGCCAACGGUGAGAUACCACUCUCAGGAGGCUAGAAUUCUAACUUAAUUAAGGACAGUUUCAGGUGGGUAGUUUGACUGGGGCGGUCGCCUCCAAAAAGGUAACGGAGGCGUACAAAGGUUCCCUCAGACUGGUUGGAAAUCAGUCGAAGAGUGCAAAGGCAGAAGGGAGCUUGACUGCGAGAAGUACAGUUCGAGCAGGGUGGAAACACGGUCUUAGUGAUCCGACGGUGCUGUGUGGAAGGGCCGUCGCUCAACGGAUAAAAGUUACUCUAGGAUAACAGGCUGAUCUCCCCCAAGAGUUCACAUCGACGGGGAGGUUUGGCACCUCGAUGUCGGCUCAUCGCAACCUGGGGCGGAAGUACGUCCCAAGGGUUGGGCUGUUCGCCCAUUAAAGCGGUACGUGAGCUGGGUUCAGAACGUCGUGAGACAGUUCGGUCCAUAUCCGAUGUAGGCGUGAGAAUAUUGAGAGGAGCCUUCCUUAGUACGAGAGGACCGGGAAGGACGCACCGCUGGUGUACCUGUUAUGAUGCCAAUUGUAAACGCAGGGUAGCCAAGUGCGGAGAGGAUAACCGCUGAAAGCAUCUAGUGGGAAGCCCACCUCAAGAUGAGUAUCCUGGUGUAAGGUCACGGGAAGACGACCCGUAAAUAGGCACGAGGUGGAAGUGCAGAGAUGUAUGAAGCCGAAGUGUACUAAUAGACCGUCGGCUUGACCU